CCAGGAAGUGGGUGACCCCAGGGGUCAGUGAUUUGGAAUCUAUGGUGACAAAUGCAAAUGAGAUCUAGACACUAGAACUCCGGGUUAUAAGGUGGAGAAGGGGAGAGGUCGAGCAUGUAAAACCAGGAAGUGGAUGGAAAAUUAACCCCAUUUUGAUACUUGACAGAACUCUGUGAACAGUCACCUCACUGUUUGUCACUGUGUGUCAAUUCACUCUUUUUCUUUUGUACAGGGUUUGAACCCAGGGACUCUACACUGAGCUACAUCCACGGCAAUUUAAAAAAAUCUUUCGGAGACUGAGUCUCACUAACUUGUCCCCUCUGCCUUGAAUCAGUGAUGCUCCUGUCUCAGGAUCCCGGGGUGCUGAAAUUACAGGCCUGCACUGCAACAUAUGUGCAUCUCCCUGGCUGGAAAAUCUCGGUGCGACCUCCAGGGAAGGAGGAGAGGAGGCACCUGGGUUAGUUCUUCGCGACAAUGAAAAAGAGGAGAGAAAGAGGCUCCAAAGUUGUCUCUUUAUGGCCCCUGGCAUCUGGACACGGCAGGCGGGCAGGGCAUCGGGAAGCACCGCACCUUGUUUUCUUGCUUACACAGGUGAGAUCUUUCCGUGGGUGAAAUUGGGAAAGCGGAGAUGCAGAAGGGGGUGAUAAACCACUCCAAAUCUUCUUCAGAGAUAACCACUUUCUAUUAUAGGGUACUUUAGUCCUCUCCAUUUCUUAGAAACAAAGCAAACUCUUGUCUUUUGUUUGUGUAUCCGAAUUUUUGUUGUUAUUCCAAAGCAAAGCAUAGCCACUGCAAAAAGAGCCAGAAACAUAAACAAGAAAAAGGAAUGAAAAGAAUUGUCCCUGGGCUCACAGAUGGACCAAGCAGGGUGGACUGAGGAAGGCAAAGCAUCUUCUCUGCUGUUUCCCUGCCCCUCUCAUUUCAUCUGCAAGACAAACAAGCAAGAGAACUCCAGAGCUUUCUUUCCAGCAAAUUAGAAAACACAAACAGGCAUCGAAGAGCCCGCCUUUCGGACCGACAGCGCUUGGCAGCAGCGUUGGCUGUACUUUUGACACACCUCCUGAAGACACUCACGAAAGAAGGCUUCCAGCACUGCUUCAGAAGGCGGCAAGGAUGACGGCUGAGUGUGUUCCAAGGGAGGGGAUUUUCAAGGGGGA